UGUGCAUGAUGACACCUCAAUAAUUCUGUAAAUCCCCAUUUGCACAGUGGGGAAGCCAACCUUAAAUAAAUAAGCACAUA